rnacentral:rRNA from 1 species
GACGAACGCUGGCGGCGUGCCUAAUACAUGCAAGUUGAGCGCUGAAGGUUGGUACUUGUACCAACUGGAUGAGCAGCGAACGGGUGAGUAACGCGUGGGGAAUCUGCCUUUGAGCGGGGGACAACAUUUGGAAACGAGUGCUAAUACCGCAUAAAAACUUUAAACACAAGUUUUAAGUUUGAAAGAUGCAAUUGCAUCACUCAAAGAUGAUCCCGCGUUGUAUUAGCUAGUUGGUGAGGUAAAGGCUCACCAAGGCGAUGAUACAUAGCCGACCUGAGAGGCUGAUCGGCCACAUUGAGACUGAGACACGGCCCAAACUCCUACGAGAGGCAGCAGUAGGGAAUCUUCGGCAAUGGACGAAAGUCUGACCGAGCAACGCCGCGUGAGUGAAGAAGGUUUUCGGAUCGUAAAACUCUGUUGGUAGAGAAGAACGUUGGUGAGAGUGGAAAGCUCAUCAAGUGACGGUAACUACCCAGAAAGGGACGGCUAACUACGUG